rnacentral:lncRNA from 1 species
GCUUUACUUUCAUGCUUUGGCUGUUGGCUCUUUGCCUCUUUGCGAUUGCAGCAGAUUGUCCCGCUAGGUAAAAUUGUGUCCACCAGGUGGCGGAGUGGCUGUUCGUGAGUGACGAAGCCGCCAUUUGCUUUUGAAACAGUGUACGGGAAUGUGUUGCUGCUCAAUGCGGUGUUCUUCGCUUUUACAUUUAAAAAAAUGAUAAAGUUGUUUCCACGCCUUUCGACCAAGCUGAAUCGAAAGUGAACAAUUUUAAAGCAAGCAAAGUGCAGAAUAACAGGAAUAAAGUGAAAAGUUACAAAAAGUGAUACGAAAAGUAGCAGUAUAGGCGAGUAUAGGAUAUUUCGUCAAGAAUCUGGAACAAGGCACUGAUUCAGAAGAAUGUCAACUGUUAAGCUGCCUUCUCAUUAUACCUUGGGGAUUUCGUCUGUUGUGAUGUGUGAUGCUGCGGUGCUUUUUGGUGAAGACGAGAUGUAAAUUUGGAGGGGAGAAUAUUACGAGGAAACGUGAAAGGGUCGUGGCCGUCGUGCAGCCUACGGUCAACUAUUUUGUUCCAAAUUAUUGUAUUCUACUGAAUGUGCCAUCGAAAUGAUACAGGAGCCAUAAUUGUAUUGGACUUGCUAGAUCACCAACCCCAGCAUAGACCAAUCUCUCAUUUCAUCUUCUCGAGAUAAGAUUGGAUAACUGAUCUGUGGUUUCAUGUGUUCUAAACUCCAGCUUUGUAAAUUUGCAUGGCAGACUUUAUGAGAAGUCAUGUCCUUUCAAGAAAGUCAACAAGGUCCAUGUUUACUAACCUGUUGGCUGCUACCCUUGAAUCUCCCUUUUUACUUUCUUAAGUGAGCCAUCUUUAUUUGAGGGUAAUCCUUCGCUACCUGUCAUGGACUUCAUCCACUGAUGAAAACCGACGAGAGAAUGCUGCAAUCCAAGACUGAUAAAUUGUUUAAUCGUCGGAUUAAAUUAUAAGUGCAUAUCUGGGCUCCCUUCUUUUCUGUGGCCCCGUUUCCCUAACUAACCACUAACCAACGCCCGCCGAUGGUCACUCACCCGCUGUGAAACCAGGAGGAGGG